AAGACCUUCGUUCAGGGUUUUCCAUUAGAUGUUACAGAAAACCCUGAAUGAACCUUUUGG
ensembl:miRNA